rnacentral:lncRNA from 1 species
ACUUCAAUUUUGACUAAUAUUCCAUUAUAGUACUACUGCAUAUUCACUUCUGAUUGCUUCUUGCUGCCACUAUUUUUAUCAUGAUUUUGUGUGUCCACCCAGGAGUGUUUUUGUUCCUGUAGGUCAGCUGCUCAACAACAGAAGCAUGUACCGCCCAGUACAUGUAUUACUAUUGCGAAGGUUCAAAAAUCUGGACUCAACAAGUUCAACGUUGAUGGUACUGUGCACAUGCGCUAAGCCGUUCUACAACAUAGCGCUAAGCCGUUCUAUGCUGCAGCUCGGGAGGUGCUAGCUAUUCCCCACCUCCCCCUGGACGUUCAUCUCCUUAUCUUGUGUAUAUUCAGUUCAACAUCUGGUGGUUCUUCAGGUCACCUUAAUGUGCAUUUUCUGUUCAUCUUACAGGUGAAGGAGCUCCCCUUGGGUUCAUCUUGCAAGUUUCGUUCAAACUUGGCCACCUAGGCUGUUCAACAGCAUCAGCAGAACCCGUUUAGUUGGUGGCGUUCCUGCAGCUGCAGAUGUGGUGCUGACAGUACUAGGCGUUGGUUGUGUUUGAUCAAAUGCCUAGGAGCUCCCAUGAUUUACACAUGGAAUCCAGAUGAUUAUGUUUCUUCAUCCCCCAAGUACUUCAAUGGUGGCUCCUUCCCGGUUGGCUCAAUUGCUGCUGGAUUUAGGUGGGUUGGCUCAAUUGCUGCUGGAUUUAGGUGGCCAAGUUUGAACGAAAAUUACUCAUUGACCGUAUGUCUAAUCGGUGUUUCUUUGUUUACAGAAAAACUAAUAUGUGAGGAUUAUCUCAGGUUUCUUUUUGAACUUGUAGUGUUACUGUACAUGAACUUGUGCAUUACCUUGUUAUCAAUUUAUGUGUAUGUGUGUUGGUAACCACGGCUACUAGCUACUAGUUACCGAUCUGACUAUUGUAUUAGUGCAGCUGCUCUAUGUAAUUAGCCCCUUGUUGGGUGAAUCUUGUACUAUUUGCUAGCUUUGGCAUUGUAAAAAUACAACAAGUUCAUAGCUAAAAAAGUUAUAAGUUCAACACAGCGUACUAGAUUAGUUUUUUUGUUAUGGAUAGUACAGAUGCACAUUGUUUUAUAG